AUGAACGAUAUGCCUGGCACUGAUAGCCUCAUCGAGGACAUUGACAAGAAACAUUUGGUCCUUCUUUGAGAUGGGAGGACACUUAUAGGCUUUUAAAGAAGCAUUGAUCAAUUUAGACUUGGAAAAGGAGAGUGACACACCCUUCCAGCAAGUAUCCAUUGAAGAAAUUGUAGAAGAGCAAAGGAUGGAUCAGCAGACCAAGCUGGAAGCAGAGAAGCUGAAAGUGCAGGCCCUGAAGGACCGAGGUCUUUCUAUUCCUCGAGCAGAUACUCUGGAUGAGUAUUAAGUCUUUUGCCCAGAGGCUGGUGCUGUUGAAGAGUAGGGGCUGUCACUUAGUGAAAGUCACAUCCUGGCCACCCCACACAGUUGAUCAGAGAUUGUAGAGUUUUGAAAAGUCACUUUUAUUUUUGAUUACUUUACACAUGCAGCAUGAAGAAAUCAUGUAGGUGGGUUUUUUAAAAUAAUAAAAUCAUUGUUUAAAGAAACAGUGACAUAGACUCCUUCACAUGUCACUGUGGUGCCAGCAAUGACUUCUUCAUAUUGUUCUUCAUAUCCCAAAUAGAGUUUAUAGGCACAGUCUUCAUUUACUUGUAAAUAAAAUAUGAAUCUCAAA